UUAUGGCCAUAUCACAUUGAAAUAUUGGUUCCCAUACAAUAACCGAAGUUAAGCAACUUCAAGCCUGGUCAAUACCUAGAUGGGUGACAACUUGGGAAUACUAUGUGCUGUAAG
rnacentral:rRNA from 1 species